AUAGCUCAGACUGAAAACCUUCGGGAAUGUGGUCUGCAGAUGAGACAUCGAAUCUUCGGAAGCUGAUAAAGUGGUCUGGAAUGACCCGCCGUGGAGGGUGACAGCCCCGUUCGUAUCAGUGGAAAGAGUAAGUAGAUGCUUAUCAACGAGUCGAGUUGUUUGGGAUUGCAGCUCAAAGCGGGAGGUAAAUUCCUUCUAAAGCUAAAUAUCGAUAGGAGACCGAUAGCAAA
rnacentral:rRNA from 1 species